CAGCCUUUUCACAAAACAGACGAGGACAAUUAUUCCUCUCCCAAGUUAAAAUAUGAAUAGUGUUUAUUUUUGUUUUCUUCCGAAUGUCUUAAUUUCACCCGAUGUCUGACCACGACCAAAGAACUGGCGUGAUCUGUGGCUGAUUCAUAGAGCUGAGCUGGCGAAGCCUGCGAUCACGGAGUACAGGGAUCAUAACAGACCGGAGUGGGGGAGGGGUGCGCAGACUCGGCGUAACGGCCAAGAGAAAGCAGGAGACACUCGGACGCUUCGGUGCUGCAGUUUAGUUGGUGCCCACCAUCAGUUCAAAGGAAUCCCGCUCAAGAGAGUGGGCAAUAAAGCUCGUAACGUACAAGAUCAGCCUAAAGAAACCAUGCCCUAAAAUCUGGCCUUCAUAACCGAGCGGGUCUGUUAGUGUUGGAUUGUCUAAAUAAAUAAAUAAGCUAUGGGCUAUAGAAACUAAUAGGCCUAUGCAUUAGAAAAACAACACUAAUGCUUUUAAUGAAACAUUUUAAAGCGUAUUCCUCAGUUUAAAUACGCACUAUAUCUUACUGGUUUUGCUUUCAUUUGUUUUUCAUUUUGCAUUAAGUUAGACGUGAAACUAGUAAAUAACACGAAAGCCCUUUGGGUGAAGAGACUUGGUAAAUUGUAAUAAUUAAACCCUAGGGUCUUGUAUCAUGUGCAAUGGAACUGCAGGGGUCUCGGUUCUCCUCACAUUGGCAGUAGGAACCAGAGCUCUUCAAAAGAACAUCUUCACGUCUGCUGCACCAGCCAGAUGUUGGUCGUGAGGUUGACGCCCUGGAGUGGAGGUUGAGAUCAGAGACACUGAGGGACAGUGGAAAAGGAACAGGACUCGCUUUAAGCUGAAAGAGGACAGGACUACCACUGUCCAAGCCUGAGAGACUGGGAAACGCUCCGAGAGACUGGGAAACGCUCCGAGACACUGGGAAACGCUCCGAGAGACUGGGAAACGCUCUGAGAGAAAUGGGAAACGCUCUGCCGCCCCAAGAUCUGCCAAAGUGAAGCGUUCAAAUGUGCCCAAAUGCUCUUUGCAAACCAGAGGACUGCUGCUCAAUGACUGUUUUUCUUCUGCACUCUGCACUGUGUUAUAUUCUUUAUAUAAUCUCCAUGAAGAUCUGACAAAAAUAAAGAAUGUUGCAUAUAUUCCUGCAUAUAUUAUCUAUAUUAUUCCCUCUAACAGCUGAAAUUUCAGAAGUGACUGAAAACUACUAUAGUGUGCUUGUACAAACUAGCAUUACGGUGGGAAAAGCAAAGAGAGGCAUAUGUGGCCCCUACAUGUGACAGAUGAAUCGUUUUUCCCAACCUGACUGACACUGCAUUAGAGAUGUAUACAGCUUUUUGCUACAUUGGAGGGGUUUGACGGGACGAAGACCAUCCCAAUACCAUUCUAAAUGUAUCCUGCAGUGUUAUUCAUUGUAAAUAUAAAUUCUAAGAAGUCCUUUAAACAUUUUUAGAGGUUUUUCCCUCCCCAAACAUCACUGUUGAAGGGAGAAAGCAUAUAUUGUUCGGCUCACUGUUGUUAACGUAUUUUUUUUUCUUUUUUUUUAGUGGGGCGGCAGUUCAAAUGGACUUCAACCCAAAUAUUACAUAUUCAAGUUUUUUUUUCUUUCUAUGUAGUUUUUGCAUUUAAAUAACUCAUCAUAUCCACAAUGAGAUAACAAAACAAAACCAUAUCAACACAGAGAAGAGAAAAAAACAAAACAAAAUUAAACAGCAACAACAACUUUAACAGUAAUAACCGAUGGAGAAAGCGCGUGAUAUUCUGGAUGGCCAUUCGCAAAGUGCUUUUAUUUAUUACAAUCACCAAGCUGCAAACAGCAUGAUGGCUUUGAGAAGCCCAGCUCACUGCCGACCUGCUGACCUUAGAGCUAGCGGAGCUCUGGCAGGGGACGGGACGGAGAACCCCACAGUUUAAGACCUCUGAAUCUCCUUCUCCCUCCAUCCCUACCCAACCCCUUCUCCUACCAUCAAUCCAUGAGUGGGAAUUUUAGAAGUUACGGAAUGCAUUCCAGAUUCCUUGGUGGCUUCGGACCCGAAGUCUCUCUGCGACACAGUCUCUUCCGCCGACAUUCUGUGGCUUAGUGUGUGGAAGGUGGCCAGCACAGACAGGCUAUAAGCCCAGAGGAACAAAACAAUAUCUCUGCAGCCCUGGAGCCACCAUUCAGUAAGCCUGUAGUGACAGACUCCUUUCGGGCACGCGUUUGCUUCAGCACACAUGAACACACGUAACGUAGGCAAAGUAAUGAGGGGACUACGGGCAGCUCGGUCCUAUAACACAUAGGUCCUGUCUCCACAUGGAUAGAUAGAGUACAAUAAAGCUUUGAUUAGACGAAAGGCAAAAAACUGGGCUGGUACCAAACCAAUGGACUGCAGUGUUGUUCAACCUGAGAAGCAACUGACUUAAAAGGAUAGAUGAUUUCCCAUAAUACCCAGAAUAGUGACUUGUGUUUUACACCACAUUCCAACCCCCCCUCCCCCCGUACACACACGCACACACAGAAAUGCACCAAAAAUUCACUUCCAGCAUCAUGUCCACGGCCAGCGAAGCACGACCCGCUCGGGCCGUCAUAGGCUUAGGUAGCUGCCAUUCCUUCCUUCCUGCAUGCAACGACACAGCACACGCUGCCAUACCUUUCCCAGGCUUUCCAGGCCCCGAGGCGCACCCUGGUAAAAGUGCCCCUGACGCUCUCCAUCCUGGGCAAACCCCCGGCUCCACCCACUAGGCUCUUAGUGCAACCCGGGCCGACCGGCCGCAGGCAGGAGGUAGGAGGCUCUCCGCAGGUCUGCAGGCGGAGCCGUGCCCUCUGCCUGCUCUGGCGUGUGGCAGCCUUCGGUGUUGCUAGGCUGCGGUCUCGCCUCAGCAUCUGCACGCUCUGCUGCCGCCCUCACCGACUCCAGUCCCGUGAUCAUUAUCAUCGAUUUCUUUUUUUAAAUAAUGCUUUUUGACAUCCCAUCCAAUAAAUAAAACAAAGACAACAUUUGGAUAUAACGACAUAUCUGGCGUCUUGUAAAAGGGUUUGUGAGACACCUUCUCAGUGUAGCAUCUUCCUAAGGAGUCAUAGUAGGGGACUGAGGCUGGGGCGAUUCACUGUCGUGGACUUUGUGAUGAAGCCUCAGCCACGCUUCAUAUCCAAAUCUUCACGGGCUUAACCGAUCGGAUUUGUCGCAGUUGAUUACAAGAAAGGAGUUUCACAUUCGGCCCCGUACAGUACUUCUGUAAACGUCCUACAACAGAUCAUGACUUUAAUUAGACUGGUGAGAGACUCAGUGGGGACCGUCAUUAGCAACUGGACAGGGAAUGAAAACGAAAACGUCCUUUUGAAGAAAACCCCUCCCGAUAUGCUCCCGCGUUAAGGCACGUUCUCCCCCAGGUCUCUCCAUCCCCUCACCCCACCCUCAGCCCAGGCCUCAACACCCCUACCAGACUCCUUGUGGAUCCUUUUAAACAAAGCUUAAGUCCCAAGACAAGACCUUUGAGUUGCUGUGAACCAGCAGAAGCAUCCUAUUAGUCCACUGAACAGGUGUGUGAAAUCAGGCAUUUAGGUUUUGAUCUGAUGAACCUGCUGAACUGGGCUAGUCCCCAACACUGUAUCUGUGUUAAGGAGCCUAUGUUGGGGACAGAGUUUUUUUAACCACACAGAAUCUUAAAAAAAACAAACAAACAAAAAAAACAACAACCUGUGUUAUUCAAUGUUCAGUAAUAUUCGCAUUACAGGAGGAUUCUGUCAUCUGAAACCAAAGAUAUAAUUAGGGAUAAGAGAAAUCUUAUUCAUCUUAUACAUAUACGAGUAAAAUUAAUUCAAGUAAUCCAGGCCUUUGUCUACUUUGGUUUAAAAGUGAUUAAUAAACAUACAGUAGAAAAGGUGAUGGAAGGAUGGCUUAAAUUACGCUGUGUUCACAGAAACUCAAAGGUCUUGCCGAGAUUUCUAGCCCUGGUCCUCUGAGGACAAAGGUGUGACUUUUAGUGCAAUACUCGUACUGUCUCAGCCAAAGCACCAUAUUCAGUGCUAUCAGCAUUUACACCCCCCACCCUGACACACACACACACACACACUACCCCCAUCCCUGCUACCUAAACCCCUAAUCCACCUCCACCGUGUAAGUUCAGAUCCCCUCACAUACACUUCAACUUAUACAAGAACCAUUAACUUAGAAAGAAAAUGUAGCAACACAAUUUGCAAGGUAAAAGAAAACAGGCAUUUCAUCAACUAAAAGGUCAGUGACAGACAGAAAAGGAGGUCAAGUAAUUUCUUUCUCCGCAAUGAAAUCCACUGCUACUUCUGCGUAUGUAAAGAGGGGAGGUUUUGGGUGCGUCAGUGCUACCAGUUCAGAGCUACUGUGUGUGUGUAACACCUGCAAGCUGACUUAAAGAACAGAGUGUUAGAGACUGGUUAUAAGUUGGCCGUCAGCGAAAGAAAUCGUAAUCGUAAAGAUAUGUUCCCAAUAAUGAUUUAAGGCUGAACUAAAAAUGUGUGAAGCGCAGGCAAUCCGAACUCACGGCGCAGUGGGCACUGCGACAUAUGGGUGCGGCCCUGUAAUAGCGGCCUAACCCUUUCCCUUUUAUGACAUGGACUACAGAGGUCGUCAACUGGGCGACCCCUGAGUCAGAUCACAACGGGUAUCCUGUCCUCUGCACAUAAUGACAGAAAUAAGAGCAACAAACCGGUCAACUCUGUAAAUGGGAUAUGCUUAUUAAGAAUUGCUGGAAGACCCCUGCAGACACACACACACACACACACAC